GAUGAACGCUAGCGACAGGCUUAACACAUGCAAGUCGAGGGGUAACAGGGUAGCAAUACCGCUGACGACCGGCGCACGGGUGAGUAACGCGUAUGCAACCUGCCUAUAACUGGGGAAUAGCUCCCUGAAAGGGGAAUUAACACCGCAUAACACUAUUGAUUCGCAUGGAUUGGUAGUUAAAUGUAGCGAUACAGGUUAUAGAUGGGCAUGCGUGACAUUAGCUAGUUGGUGAGGUAACGGCUCACCAAGGCUACGAUGUCUAGGGGUUCUGAGAGGAAGGUCCCCCACACUGGUACUGAGACACGGACCAGACUCCUACGGGGGGCAGCAGUGGGGGAUCUUGCACAAUGGGCGAAAGCCUGAUGCAGCGACGCCGCGUGAGCGAAGAAGGCCUUCGGGUUGUAAAGCUCUGUCUGGAGGGACGAAGAAAUGACGGUACCUCCGGAGGAAGCCACGGCUAACUACGUGCCAGCAGCCGCGGUAAAGUC
rnacentral:rRNA from 1 species